GCAUGGUUACUAUAGCAGGGCUCCAGGUAGAGCUGCAUGGUUACUAUAGCAGGGCUCCAGGUAGAGCUGCAUGGUUACUAUAGCAGGGCUCCAGGUAGAGCUGCAUGGUUACUAUAGCAGGGCUCCAGGUAGAGCUGCAUGGUUACUAUAGCAGGGCUCCAG